UUUUGGGGUGCGGCUCUCCCCUCCCCCAGCCCCAAAUUUCGGGGUCUCUCCCCCUGCAGGGGACGUGGCCGGGGGCUGCAAGCUGCUGCGGAACCGCUUCGAGAGCCGCGACCGGGAGUGGGCCUCCUACACCUGCGUGCUGGGCUUCCACGUCUUCGGGGUGUGGCCGGACGGCUCCGACGGCACCGACAUCAACUCGCUGUGCCGCUCGCACCACGAGCGCGUGGUGGCCGUGGCCGACGACUUCUGCAAGGUUCACCUGUUCCAGUACCCCUGUGCCCGGCCCAAGGCUCCCAGUCACGUGUACGGCGGGCACGGCGG